UACGUAGGGUGCGAGCGUUGUCCGGAAUCAUUGGGCGUAAAGCGCGUGUAGGCGGCUUGGUAAGUCCGGUGUGAAACCUUGGGGCUCAACCCCAAGCCUGCACUGGAUACUGCCUCGCUUGAGUCCGGGAGGGGAGAGCGGAAUUCCUAGUGUAGCGGUGAAAUGCGCAGAUAUCAGGAGGAACACCGGUGGCGAAGGCGGGUCUCUGGGCCGAUACUGACGCUGAGGAGCGAAAGCGUGGGGAGCGAACAGG
rnacentral:rRNA from 1 species